rnacentral:misc_RNA from 1 species
UCCAGCUUAUCGCUGGCGGUCUCCUGCGAGUGCCGCCUUUCGGCAUGGUAACACAGGACAAGGGUUGCGCUCGUUGCGGGACUUAACCCAACGUCUCACGACACGAGCUGACGACAGCCAUGCAGCACCUAACUACAGGUUCCCCGAAGGGCACACCGACUUUUCAGCCAGCUCCCUGCACUUUCUAGCCCAGGUAAGGUUCUGCGCGUUGCGUCGAAUUGAACCACAUGCUCCACCGCCUGUGCGGGCCCCCGUCAAUUCCUUUGAGUUUCAGCCUUGCGGCCGUACUCCCCAGGCGGGGCACUUAAUGCGUUAGCGCCGGCACUCAGGGGGUCGCUCCCCCAAGCACCUAGUGCCCAUCGUUUACGGCGUGGACUAC